rnacentral:rRNA from 1 species
AAUCUUCCACAAUGGACGAAAGUCUGAUGGAGCAACGCCGCGUGAGUGAAGAAGGUUUUCGGAUCGUAAAACUCUGUUGUUGGAGAAGAACGUAUUUGAUAGUAACUGAUCAGGUAGUGACGGUAUCCAACCAGAAAGCCACGGCUAACUACGUGCCAGCAGCCGCGGUAAUACGUAGGUGGCAAGCGUUGUCCGGAUUUAUUGGGCGUAAAGCGAGCGCAGGCGGUUUCUUAAGUCUGAUGUGAAAGCCUUCGGCUCAACCGAAGAAGUGCAUCGGAAACUGGGAAACUUGAGUGCAGAAGAGGACAGUGGAACUCCAUGUGUAGCGGUGAAAUGCGUAGAUAUAUGGAAGAACACCAGUGGCGAAGGCGGCUGUCUGGUCUGUAACUGACGCUGAGGCUCGAAAGCAUGGGUAGCAAACAG